rnacentral:rRNA from 1 species
UUAGUGGCGGACGGGUGAGUAACGCGUGGAAAACCUGCCGUAUACUGGGGGAUAACGCUUAGAAAUAGGUGCUAAUACCGCAUAAGCGCACAGCUUCGCAUGAAGCGGUGUGAAAAACUCUGGUGGUAUACGAUGGUUCCGCGUCUGAUUAGCUAGUUGGUGGGGUAAUGGCCUACCAAGGCAACGAUCAGUAGCCGGCCUGAGAGGGUGAACGGCCACAUUGGGACUGAGACACGGCCCAAACUCCUACGGGAGGCAGCAG